GGUGAACGCUGGCGGCGUGCUUAAGACAUGCAAGUCGAACGGCAGUCUUCGGACUGUAGUGGCGCACGGGUGAGUAACGCGUAACUGACCUACCCCAAAGUCGCGGAUAACGAUUCGAAAGAAUCGCUAAUACGUGAUGUGCUGUCAGAUUGUGUUCUGCCAGUAAAGAUUAAUUGCUUUGGGAUGGGGUUGCGUUCCAUCAGCUUGUUGGUGGGGUAAAGGCCCACCAAGGCGACGACGGAUAGCCGGCCUGAGAGGGUGGCCGGCCACAGGGGCACUGAGACACGGGUCCCACUCCUACGGGAGGCAGCAGUUAGGAAUCUUCCACAAUGGGCGAAAGCCUGAUGGAGCGACGCCGCGUGAGGGAUGAAGGUCUUCGGAUCGUAAACCUCUGAAUCAGGGACGAAAGACACUUCGGUGGGAUGACGGUACCUGAGUAAUAGCACCGGCUAACUCCGUGCCAGCCGCCGCGGUAACAC
rnacentral:rRNA from 1 species